rnacentral:rRNA from 1 species
AAUACCCAAUGUGCUCGGUGAUUCGGUUCAUCGAGUAAAGCUCCGGCGCUUCGGGAGAGGCCUGCGGCCCAUCAGCUAGUUGGUAGGGUAACGGCCUACCAAGGCAGAGACGGGUAGGGGGCGUGAGAGCGCGGACCCCCACACUGGCACUGAGAUACGGGCCAGACUCCUACGGGAGGCAGCAGUAAGGGAUAUUGCGCAAUGGACGAAAGUCAGACGCAGCGACGCCGCGUGGGCGAUGAAGGCCUUCGGGUUGUAAAGCCCUUUUAUGGGGGAAGAGAAAAAGGACGGUACCCCAGGAAUAAGUCCCGGCUAACUACGUGCCAGCAGCCGCGGUAAAACGUAGGGGACAAGCGUUAUCCGGAUUCACUGGGCGUAAAGAGCGUUGAGGCGGUUCCGUAAGUUGGGCGUGAAAGCUCCGGGCUUAACUCGGAGAUGUCGUUCAAUACUGCGGGGCUUGAGGACAGCAGAGGAAGGUGGAAUUCCCGGUGUAGUGGUGAAAUGCGUAGAUAUCGGGAGGAACACCCGUGGCGAAGGCGGCCUUCUGGGCUGUUCCUGACGCUGAAGGCGAAAGCUAGGGGAGCGAACGGGAUUAGAUACCCCGGUAGUCCUAGCUGUAAACGAUGGAUGCUGGGUGUGGGGGGUGUAAAUUCCCUCUGUGCCGAAGCAAACGCGUUAAGCAUCCCGCCUGGGGACUACGGCCGCAAGGCUAAAACUCAAACGAAUUGACGGGGGCCCGCACAAGCAGCGGAGCGUGUGGUUUAAUUCGAUGCUACACGAAGAACCUUACCUGGGUUUGACAUGCACGUGGUAGGGAACCGAAAGGGGACCGACCUUCGGGAGCGUGCACAGGUGCUGCAUGGCUGUCGUCAGCUCGUGCCGUGAGGUGUCGGGUUAAGUCCCGUAACGAGCGCAACCCUUGCCCUUAGUUACAAGUGUCUAAGGGGACUGCCCGGGACAACUGGGAGGAAGGUGGGGAUGACGUCAAGUCAGCAUGGCCUUUAUAUCCAGGGCUACACACACGCUACAAUGGCCGGUACAAUAGGUUGCGAAGUCGUGAGGCGGAGCCAAUCCUCAAAGCCGGUCUCAGUUCGAAUUGCAGUCUGCAACUC